rnacentral:rRNA from 1 species
UACGUAGGGUGCAAGCGUUGUCCGGAAUUAUUGGGCGUAAAGAGCUCGUAGGCGGUUUGUUGCGUCGGCUGUGAAAUCCCGAGGCUCAACCUCGGGUCUGCAGUCGAUACGAGCAAACUAGAGUGUUGUAGGGGAGUGUGGAAAUCCCGGUGUAGCGGUGAAAUGCGCAGAUAUCGGGAGGAACACCAGCGGCGAAGGCGGCACUCUGGGCUGGUACUGACGCUGAGGAGCGAAAGCGUGGGUAGCAAACAGG